rnacentral:rRNA from 1 species
UACAGAGGUCUCAAGCGUUGUUCGGAUUCAUUGGGCGUAAAGCGCACGUAGGCGGUCUGUUAUGUCGGAUGUGAAAGCCCUUGGCUUAACUGAGGAAGUGCAUCCGAAACUGGCAGGCUAGAGUACUAAAGAGGGUCGCGGAAUUCCCGGUGUAGAGGUGAAAUUCGUAGAUAUUCGGAAGAACACCAGUGGCGAAGGCGACUUACUGGACACAUAUUGACGCUGAGGUGCGAAAGCGUGGGGAGCAAACAGG